CCACUCUCUCUCUCUCACAAUUCAAUUCUCGUCCACUCUCUUUCUCCCCCAAUUCAAUUCUCGUCCACUCUCUCUCCCCCCAAUUCAAACCUCUUCCCAAACCCUAGCCGCCGCAAAAGCUCACUAAGAAAUUGAAAUCACUUCCGUUUUUCACUGUCAACAUGAAGGAAAUUGUAUAUUAUUCGAACGUACAACAACUUUUCAGCAUUAGACGAUCGAUUUUGGUGAUUUUCGUGUCGAUGAACAAUAGAUUCUCGAUUUCAGGUAUAAACCGUCCAAAAAAUCUUGGUGAUGAGGACUUUGAGGAGGAGAUGCAACCUUCCCCAACCCAUGAUACAUUAUACAUGCAUAAUUGUACAUGACUUUAAAAUAUCGUACACUGCGACAAGAUGUAGCUAUAUAUGUACAUACAUUAUUCAGUAAUUUAGUUACAUUAAUGUCUGGGAUUCAUAUCCAAA